AGGAGCAUCCAAACAGGGUCUAGUUUGCUGGAGGUGCUUAACAAGGAACUAUAAAAGCCAACAUUCAUUUUAAGACAGUCAUCCAACCCCCUUAUCAUGAUGAAGCUACUCACAUGUGUUGCCAAAGUAAUUAGAAACAAUUCAAAACUCCAAAUUGCCUCCAUUUACUAAGCUCUCUUCCAGUGUAGAAGAAACAUAAUGGACAGUGGAUCUCAGCUUCUUUGACUCCCUCAGAAGUCCUGUCACACGAGGAGAAAUGCCACGACAGGGGUAACAACGCUUUGACCAAAGCUUGAUGGGAGGGAUAAGUGUAAUCAGGUCAAGAGAGUGAAAAGACACUGUCCUUGGGAGGGAGGCAAGUGGAGAAUGUCCCCCAGUCUCAGCACACUGGAGAUGAGUACCGCGUACUGAAACACAGUGCCAUGUUUACGAUCCCAAAUUACCAUGAGAUAAAAGGCUCCUUACUACACCACA